UUUCUACUCCCUCCGUCCGAAAAUACUUGUCAUCAAAAUGAAUAGAAAGAGAUGUAUCUAGAACUAAUAUAUGUCUAGAUACAUCCUCUUUUGUUCAUUUUGAUGACCAGUAUUUCCGAACGGAGGGAGUACAUU
rfam:Triticum aestivum genome assembly, contig: Triticum_aestivum_CS42_TGACv1_scaffold_404608_5BL